rfam:Burkholderia ambifaria MEX-5 ctg00712, whole genome shotgun sequence.
CCUGCUGCACAACCAGCAGUUGCCUACCGGGACGUGCGUGACUGGCAACGGUCGGGUAUGAAGCUCCCGGGACAAAGUACCCCUCGGAAGACGUUACAACCGGUGACGGUAUGACGACGCUGCAAGCCGCGAUGCGGCGUGAGGG